UGUCAUGUGAUGAAGCCUCUAGGAAUGUGUCUAACCAAAAUUGGCAACCCUACUGUUACAUAGACAUUUUCUGCAAAAGUUUUCAUGGCAAAAAAGCAACUUUCCAUCCAAAUGGAGUUUCAGUGGGAAAACUGUGACCAGUCCUAGCCUUGAAUAAUAGACCCAAGUCUGUUGGGAAACAUUUCUGCACCAGUGAGCUGAUGGACCAAGUGAUGCUACCAGACAGUCAAGUUUUCAAACCUUCCCCCACUUUGGAAAACUUACACAAUGCCCAAAGGAUGAAGGAAACUUGCUAUGCGGCUACUGCGGGGAAAGUCCUUAGCCUGUAGUUCAAUACCAUUGGCAUCGCCUCAGGAGGGAGGCAGGGACUAGCUGUGGUCUCUGUCCUGAUUCCCUUUGGCACCACAAGAGGUCCGCCCUGGCCAGCUAUGGGUCAGACCUGAAAUAAGAGGACAGUGCUG